AUGGGAUCUCAUGGAACAUCAUGGGCUGACCAAUGGGGCGAUGGUCCUGACCCUUUGAAUGGUUCCAACCAAUCAAAAAAGAAGAGCAACAACAUACUAGGCAAGACCAAGACAGUGGCGUCCACUGGUGUCAAGAAGUUGAAGGAGGGUACCUCUGUUGGCCUCCAAUGGAUCAAGACCAAAUAUAACAAAACCACCAACAAACAUUAA